rnacentral:misc_RNA from 1 species
AAGUCGUAACAAGGUUUCCGUAGGUGAACCUGCGGAAGGAUCAUUAAAGAAUAUGCAGCUUCACGAGCUCUUAUUCUCACCUUUGUAUAUCAACUUUGUUGCUUUGGCAGCGCCUUAGGCCUGCCAGAGGACCGAAACCCUACGAAGUCUCUGCCGCUGAGUCACAUAUAUGAUAGUUAAAA